rnacentral:tRNA from 1 species
UGGCUCAGUGGUAGAGUGCUUGCCUUGCAUGCAUGAGGCUCUGGGUUCGAUACCUCAG